UCCGGUUUGACACCGGCAGUCUCCCUAGAGUGCCCGGCAUAACCCGCUGGUAACUAGGGACGAGGGUUGCGCUCGUUGCGGGACUUAACCCAACAUCUCACGACACGAGCUGACGACGGCCAUGCACCACCUGUAUAGAGCCCUUGCGGACCCGCUAUCUCUAACGGAUUUCUCUAUAUGUCAAACCCAGGUAAGGUUCUUCGCGUUGCAUCGAAUUAAUCCGCAUGCUCCGCCGCUUGUGCGGGCCCCCGUCAAUUCCUUUGAGUUUCAACCUUGCGGUCGUACUCCCCAGGCGGGGUACUUCCUGCGUUAGCGCCGGCACCCAGAGGGUCGCUCCCCCAGGCACCUAGUACCCAUCGUUUACGGCGUGGACUAC
rnacentral:misc_RNA from 1 species